rnacentral:rRNA from 1 species
AUGAUGGAGGGUGCUGUGGUAAGCGCUUCCAUGGGUGUGAUUGGCCCGCUCCUGGCGGAGAUCAGCAUCUUGUGUGCGCGCUUGCCCGAUGGCCGCCCAAAACGGGAGAUGGAGUUCUUCGAGGAGAAACUGAGGAGCAUCCAAGAGAUGGUGUCCUCCCUCCACGCCGUGAAGAUGUCGCACAUGGUGGAAGAGGACACGCUGCUGAAGAAGAUGUGGGCGAAGCAAGCGAGGGAGAUCGCCUACGACACGCAAGACUUGGUCGACCUCUUCACGCACGGCGACGGUGAUGGCGACAGCGCCGGGGUUAUGCCCAAAAAGACUGCUGGGCGUGUCAAGAUGCUAAAGAGGUUCAGAAGGCGCCCCAAGAAGCCCAUAUCAGAUCUUGAGAUGGUCAACAAGAUCCAAGAGCUUAAGGUUCGUAUGGCGGAAGUGAUUGAGCGGCACAAGAGGUUCAAGAUCGGCAUGGAGCCCAGCUUCCCCCCAGAACAAGACAUACCCAGUUGGCGCCCAGCUAUGUCCAUAGAUGCUCAUUUGUCGGCACUCUAUGCCGGGGGGGACGGACUUGUUGGUAUCGAUGGCCCCAGGGACGAGCUCACGGCUCUGCUCAUGGUCAUGGAUGACAAGCAACAAUUGAAGGUGGUCUCUGUUCUGGGUCCUGAAGGUAUAGGAAAGACUACACUUACCAAAGAGGUAUUUAACGAUAUUCAAGGAAAAUUUGAUUGCUCCGCUUUUGUGUCAAUGUCCCAAAACACAAGCAUUCAGGAGAUUCUUCAAGCUCUUGGAUCACAGCUCAGUGCCCAACAAGGUGCCAGCAUAGAGGCAUGCCAAGAGGAGCGACUCACGCAUAAGCUCAUACAAGUACUCAAGGCCAAGAGGUACUUUGUCGUGCUCGACGGUGUGUGGAGCACACGUGCAUGGAGAUUGAUCAGAUGUGCCUUGCCUGGAAAUAAUCUUGGCAGUCGAAUAUUGAUGACGACAUGCAUCGAUGACAUAGCUAUGUCAUGUUGCUCAACUGCUGCAGACUCGAUAUAUCGAAUGAAAUAUCUUCCGGAAGUAGAAGGAACAAGAUUAUUCAUGGAGAGAACAUUUGGCCUUGAAAAGCAGUGGCCUUAUUCCUUAGAAGAAAUUGGUACUGAAAUGCUGAGAAAAUGUGGUGGGUGGCCAAUCUUAAUCCUCACCAUAGCUAGUUUGCUGGCCAGCAAGUCAAGUUCAGAAGAGCAAUGGAAAGUGAUACAAGGUUUUAUUGAUUUAGCACUUGAGGGUCACCUCAAAAAGAAAGGUUUAGCACCUGAGGAGAGCCAGGCCCACAGUUGCGACAGUUUUCAAGGAGUGAAAAAUAUAUUGUACAUCUGUUAUAAUGACCUUCCCCAGCAGUUGAAGACAUGCUUACUGUAUCUAUGCUUGUAUCCGGAAGGCUAUAUCAUCAGCAGAAACAAAUUAGUAAGAAGAUGGAUAGGUGAAGGCUUCAUCGGCAUGAGAAGUGAACAUGACAACUUGGAAGAAGUAGGGCAGCGCUAUUUCAAUGAACUUAUUAACAGGGGGAUGGUCCAACCUGUGGGAAUCCAGUAUGAUGGUCGAGCUGAAGCCUGUCAAGUCCAUAAUUUGAUACUUAGUCUAAUUGAAUCCAUAUCUGCUGAAGAAAACUUUGGUAUGUUGGUUGAUGGAAAGGCUCAAGAAUUCCGCACAACAGACAAGGUCCGACGGUUAUCUCUCAACUACCAUGGUCAAAAACAUUUUCCAAUUCCAUCAACCAUAUCUGCUUCUCCCAUCCGCUCACUCACAGUUUUUGGGUCUGCUCAAAGUGCACCGAUCCUUUCAAAUAAUCAAGCGUUACGGGUGUUAGAUUUGGAUGUUCAGGGAGAUCCAUGUAAAAACUAUCUUGGAACUAUAGGGAGCCUUUUUCAGUUGAAGUAUUUGGGACUCCAAAUGAGUGGAGUUGUUGAGCUUCCUGAACAGAUAGGGGAACUGCAGUUUCUUGAGACUCUUGAUCUUACCAAGACUUCCAUCAGAAGGCUGCCAACAAGCAUUCUUGGCUUAUGGCGUUUGGUAUAUUUACUUGUCUGUAAUGUGGAAUUGCCAGAUGGAGUUGGCGACAUGCAGUCUCUGGAGGAGCUUUCAGGGAUUCAAGUUAACACCACCAACUCAACAAAUUCACUGUUGGGUGUGGGACAGUUGACUAAACUGAGGAUUGUCCAACUAAUAUGGUCCAUUUCCGAUGUGUGCGGUGAUAUUAAAGGAUAUGAGGAUAAUCUACUCUUGUCGCUGAAGGAACUAUCCAAGCUCCAAUCUCUAAGCAUCGAAAGCAAAUAUGGUUCUUCUCUCAGUUUCUUGGAUUCUUGGUCACCUCAUCCUCAGUCUCUUCAGAAACUCUAUUUGAGCGGAGGAUAUUAUUUCCCCAGAAUUCCAGAGAGGAUAAUCUCGCUUGUCAACCUUGAUUUCCUCGACAUCAGGGUUUAUCAAGUGGAAGAGGAAAUGAUGAAUGUUUUGGGAUCCCUGCCAGCUCUGUUAGUUCUCAGCAUAUCAUCGCAGGUUGCAGCCGCAGAACAAAGGAUAGUGGUUCAGCCCGGGUUGUUCCACUGUCUGACGAAAUUUACACUCACUUGCUUGAAUAGUUGGACAGGGUUGGUAACCGAACCAGAGGCUCUGCCGAAGCUAGCAAGGCUUGGGCUUCUGUGCUACGUGCAGGGACAGAGAGAUCCUGUGUUUGGUGAUUAUGGCAUCAAGUAUCUNNNNNNNNNNNNNNNNNNNNNNNNNNNNNNNNNNNNNNNNNNNNNNNNGAUUUGGGAGGUUGCCACAAGAUCCUCUAACAUUCCGCCGCCACAAGUUCAAAUAUCGGACGGACAUAAUAUGGUGGAGGAAGAGGAAAUCAUCGAAGCGGUGGAGUCCUUGUCUACACACAUUGAAGAAGAAUCUACUAUCUACAAAGAUGCUCAAAUGGACCCGCAACAUAUUGUGGGGGUGGAUGUGGAAAUGGAUUCCCAAUCUUCACAGAAAGGCACAGCAGAAGAGUAUAAAGCUGAGGCAGGGAGCGUCUCCACCUGUGAUGGCAUGUCUCCAAGAAUCCAUCCACACAAACUUGCAUCAGCGAGCUCUAAGCUAACUUUCCACAACCGUGAAAGCAUGGAGGUGGCUUUGGUGAGUGUGACAACUGGGGCCAUAAAACUCGUCCUAGAGAAGCUAACCGCCCUUCUCGGCGACGAGUACAAGCGUUUCAAGGGUGUGCGCAAGGAGAUCAAGUCCCUCACUAGCGAGCUCAUUGCCAUGGAGGCUUUACUCCUGAAGUUGUCAGAGGAGGAGGAUCCUGAUGUGCAAGAUAAAUUUUGGAUGAAUGAGUUGCGGGAGCUGUCCUAUGAUAUGGAGGAUGGCAUCGACGACUUCAUGCAAAGUGUCGAUGACAAUGACGUAAAGCCAGCUGGCUUUAUUGAGAAGAUCAAAACCUCACUAGGGAAGUUGGGAAAGAUGAAGGCUCAUCGUCGGAUUGGAAAAGAGAUCCAUGAUAUGAAGAAACAAAUCAUCAAUGUGGGUGAGUGGAAUGCAAGUUACAAGAGUGGUGAGACCUUCCCCAAGACCAUCAAUGCGACCAUUGACCCUAGAGCUCUUGCUAUCUUCGAGCAUGCAUCAAAACUCGUUGGAAUUGAUAAACCAAAGUCUGAGAUAAUCAAGUUGUUAACGGAAGAGGUUGCCCAUGCACCAGUGAAAGAACAACAACCGAAGAUAGUCUCCAUUGUUGGAUCUGGAGGUAUGGGAAAGACAACUCUUGCAAACCAAGUGUAUCAAAAUUUCAAAGGACAAUACGAGUGCAGGGCUUUCAUAUCGGUGUCACGAAAUGCAGACAUGAUCAAUAUCUUGAGAACCAUUCUCAGUCAACUGGCUAAAAAUAAUUAUGGUAGUACAGAUGUGGGGAGUAUACAACAACUCAUCAGCAAGAUCAAUGAUUUCCUAGCGGACAAAAGGUGCAUGCUAUCUUUAUCUUUUCUUUUCCCUUUUACUUGA